UACGGGGGGGGGCAAGCGUUGUUCGGAAUUACUGGGCGUAAAGGGCGCGUAGGCGGCCACCGCAAGUCGACUGUGAAAUCUCCGGGCUUAACCCAGAAAGGUCAGCCGAUACUGCGGGGCUAGAGUGCAGAAGGGGCAACUGGAAUUCUCGGUGUAGCGGUGAAAUGCGUAGAUAUCGAGAGGAACACCUGCGGCGAAGGCGGGUUGCUGGGCUGACACUGACGCUGAGGAGCGAAAGCGUGGGUAGCGAACAGG
rnacentral:rRNA from 1 species